rnacentral:rRNA from 1 species
UACCAGCACCCCGAGUGGUCGGGACGUUUAUUGGGCCUAAGCAUCCGUAGCCGGUUCUACAAGUCUUCCGUUAAAUCCACCUGCUCAACAGAUGGGCUGCGGAAGAUACUAUGGAGCUAGGAGGCGGGAGAGGCAAGCGGUACUCGAUGGGUAGGGGUAAAAUCCGUUGAUCCAUUGAAGACCACCAGUGGCGAAGGCGGCUUGCCAGAACGCGCUCGACGGUGAGGGAUGAAAGCUGGGGGAGCAAACCGG